GACGAACGCUGGCGGCGUGCUUAACACAUGCAAGUCGAACGGAAAGGCCCUGCUUUUGUGGGGUGCUCGAGUGGCGAACGGGUGAGUAACACGUGAGUAACCUGCCCUUGACUUUGGGAUAACUUCAGGAAACUGGGGCUAAUACCGGAUAGGAGCUCCUGCUGCAUGGUGGGGGUUGGAAAGUUUCGGCGGUUGGGGAUGGACUCGCGGCUUAUCAGCUUGUUGGUGGGGUAGUGGCUUACCAAGGCUUUGACGGGUAGCCGGCCUGAGAGGGUGACCGGCCAAAUGGGGACUGAGAUACGGCCCAGACCCCUAGGGGGGGCAGGAGGGGGGAAUAUUGCAAAAGGGGGGGAAGCCUGAGGCAGAAACCCCGGGGGGGGGAGGAGGGCCUUGGGGUGGAAACCCGUUUUCCCCUGGGACGAAGCGGGAGUGACGGUAAUGGGAAAAGAAGCACCGGCUAACUACGU
rnacentral:rRNA from 1 species